CUAACACCGCUUUCUUCUCUUCUUCUCCCUCAGCUUUUAGGAUACUUUUUAGAGAGGGAAACCACUUCAUUCAUGUUCAAUGUCAUCACAUAGAAAACAUACGAUUAUCUCAUGACAUGAAACUAUUAAUAAAACUUGUGGAUCAGGUAAAAGGGGGGGAACCUUUUCGUCAAUGUAGGCCGCCCAGAACCGAGCGAUGGCUCGAUCAUAAGGAGUGGAAGGUAGCAUGGACGGUCCAGAUGCGCUCCAAGUCUCAUCAACAUACUCAACGAUGAUGUUAGACUCACAAACCGGUUUGUCAGCAUGAAGGAGAACCGGAAUCUUCUUGUGAACCGGGUUUGAUUUAAGAAGCAACUCGCUCUUUGCUCCAAACGUCUCCUGGAGGAACUCGUAGGGAACAGACUUGAGGUUCAGAGCGAUCCUCGGCCUCAUCACAAAAGGACUCGCCCAUGCGCCGAUCACCUUCACUUCAUCGGUAGCCAUUUUCUCUUCAAGAUCAAGAACAGAGAGAAGGACUUGGUUAAACACGUUGAAGCUUUAGUGGUAAAUCGUAGGGCAUUAUAUGGAAGGGAAGAGGGGGUAGGUAAGGUCGUAACGUAAGGCUUUCGGAAUUUCAUGGAGGUGAAGAAGCACCAGUAAAGUUUGACAUGUGUCUUAUACGGUUGGGAAAACGUUUAAAUGUUGGUCCAUCACUUUAUUAGGGGCGAGCGUUACAUAUUCACAUUGUUAGGAUGCGUGGUGUGAACUGAAACCAUUAACACACCGACAACUGUGUUCAUCUUCACGUGUUCACAUUUGUAUUUCAUGCAUAGAUAGCUUUCUCUCAAUGGGACCAUUUAAGAUCUUUGUACUUAUAUAAUUAAGUUAAUAUAUGUCUUGUUUUGACGAGUUACGAUAUUGAUAUAUAUUGUGAAACAAGUGAAACUAUAUUUAAAGGAUAGUUACGUUACAUACAAUUAAUUAUACAAAUCUACCAUUCGAGUAAAUUCACUUAUCCAAACACACAUGUCAUAUUCUCAUUUAGUAUUGAUAAAUAAUAAUAAUCAUUUUUAGUUGCUCUGUAUAUACGUACAUUUAAUAUUUGUGUUGGCUAGUCAUGUUUUCUGUAUUUGUACUGAGUGCAUUUUUUAAAUAAUUUAGAGCAUUUCCAAAAAUGAACUUCAAAAUUUUAAAUUUGGAGUUUUGAAUAGUGAUUCAUAUUUUUAUUUAUAUUUUGGUCUUUAUAAUUAAUUGUACAUCAUAUUUAUGAUUUUUAAGUAUUUUUUCAUUUAUAUUUUUAAUCUUUAAAACUUUUGUAUAUCAUAAAUAUUUCAAAUUUAUUUUAAUAAAUUCAAAAUUUUACACAUAAAAUUAAAUAAAAAUUUUAAAAUAAGGUUUGUAAUAUUCUUAGGAGAAAGCAACACAAGUUAAUAUACUUAUGUUUCUCUUGCACCAUCAACACAGAAUCAACGAACCCCAAGUUCUACUUAAUUAGGAUCUUUUGUGUCUUUGACAUCCAUUAUUAUUAAAAAAAUGUUAAAAAAAUACAUCAUUCGUAGAGAAACAAAAUGUUAAAUAAAUUAUUUAGAAAAUCUUAUAUGAUAACUUCUUUUCAUAUUUAUUUUCUUCUUUAUAUUAUUUUGAUUAUAAAAUAUUCAUAUUAGAUGUUCUUUUUUUUUUUUUUGGAACACAAACUUUCAUUCAAACUUAAACUCCAAAAUGAGAGUUCAUUACAGCAACUGCAGAGAGCAGAGCAUUCUUUGCUACUGAAUCAGAGAUAUUGUUUUUGUCCCUAGGGAUCCAACUGAAGUAAACAGCAUCAAGAAGGGAACUUAGAACUAAGAUAUCAGCAACUAAACCAUAAAUCUCUGGUGGGGGGGUGUCCUCCAUUGACUGCUUGGAUUAAUUGUCUAGAGUCCGAUUCAAAGUGAAGUCUUCGGCGGUUCAGAGAAAAACUCAUAGUGAUAGCUUCCCGUAGAGCCAGUGCUUCUUAGUUUUCACUUUUCAGUGCUGGAUUUUAUGAGACAUCAUUUUCUUACUUCUCAAUCAACAUAAAAAAAAUUACUUCAUUCACCAAGACUGAUACUACAAACUUAACAUUCAAAAUACACUUACCAACAUACCAAAAGUAAAAUUAAAACAUAAAUAAAUAAGUACCAUCACUCUCAUUUUAUUUUUUCAAGAACUCAACCCACAGUUCCACGAGGACCACAGCCAUCAGCUUAGGCCGGCGGCUUGGCAAAGAUCUUCUUAGCGAACUCAGCUAGAGUUGCAGUCUCGGGCAUGACAGGUUUCACAGCAGGAUCAUUACAGAACCUGUCAGCCCAUUUGGACAGAGAAGGAGUCUUGACCUCAUCGAUAAGUUUAUGACCACCUGCCAACUCGGUGACUCUCAACCAAGCCAAGAAGCACCCGAAUGCAAUGUCGAGGUAACCGAUGUGUUCACCGUUGAAGAACGCUUUUCCUUUGCUGCAAUCGUUGAAGGCCUUCUCGAGAAGCGCGUUCCCUUCUUCCACUUGAGCUAACACCGCUUUCUUCUCUUCUUCUCCCUCAGCUUUUAGGAUACUUUUUAGAGAGGGAAACCACUUCAUUCGUGUUCAAUGUCAUCACAUAGAAAACAUACGCUUAUCUCAUGACAUGAAACUAUAAAUAAAACUUGUGGAUCAGGUAAAAGAGGGGGAACCUUUUCGUCAAUGUAGGCCGCCCAGAACCGAGCGAUGGCUCGAUCAUAAGGAGUGGAAGGUAGCAUGGACGGUCCAGAUGCGCUCCAAGUCUCAUCAACAUACUCAACGAUGAUGUUAGACUCACAAACCGGUUUGUCAGCAUGAAUCAGAACGGGAAUCUUCUUGUGAACCGGGUUUGAUUUAAGAAGCAACUCGCUCUUUGCUCCAAACGUCUCCUGGAGGAACUCAUAGGGAACAGACUUGAGGUUCAGAGCAAUCCUCGGCCUCAUCACAAAAGGACUCGCCCAUGCGCCGAUCACCUUCACUUCGUCGCUAGCCAUUUUCUCUUCAAGAUCAAGAACGGAGGAGGACUUGGUUUAAUGCGUUGAAGCUUUAGUGGUAGAUCGUAGGGCAUUAUAUGGAAGCGAAGAGGGGGUAG
rnacentral:lncRNA from 1 species